rnacentral:rRNA from 1 species
ACUACGGGGGCAGCAGUGGGGAAUAUUGGACAAUGGGCGAAAGCCUGAUCCAGCCAUGCCGCGUGUGUGAAGAAGGCCUUCGGGUUGUAAAGCACUUUCAGUGGGGAAGAAAGCCUUGGGGCUAAUACCCUCGAGGAAGGACAUCACCCACAGAAGAAGCACCGGCUAACUCCGUGCCAGCAGCCGCGGUAAUACGGAGGGUGCGAGCGUUAAUCGGAAUUACUGGGCGUAAAGCGCGCGUAGGCGGUCUGAUAAGCCGGUUGUGAAAGCCCCGGGCUCAACCUGGGAACGGCAUCCGGAACUGUCAGGCUAGAGUGCAGGAGAGGAAGGUAGAAUUCCCGGUGUAGCGGUGAAAUGCGUAGAGAUCGGGAGGAAUACCAGUGGCGAAGGCGGCCUUCUGGACUGACACUGACGCUGAGGUGCGAAAGCGUGGGUAGCAAACAGGAUUAGAUACCCUGUAGUC